GCUCAAUUCAAAAUGGAAACGUUUGCUGAGUGUCCAUGAAGCAAACAGUCUGCAUCCAGGUUGUGUAGCAUUGGGACAAAUGAGAAAGAUAAUGGAUGGCUUAUUCCAGACUCAAAGAACAACUAGAUCUUUGUAGACAGAUCUUUAUUUACUACUCCAUGGCAACAUGGACACAAAGUUUGGUCCUACUCACCCGGGUCAUAGCAAUGAUCUGGUCGCUCUGGGGUAUCGAGACGAGCGUCAUGGUGGCAGCUCGGAUCAUAAGCAAGCUUCCAAUCUCUUCAUGCAUCAGCUCUGAACAAAGGAUAUUUAUGUGUUUUCGGCAUGCAGCACAUCUGUCACCGCUGGUAUCGGAGUCACAGAUCUGCGAUGGAGAUCUGAAGAGAACAAUUACAGCUGAUGACUAACAGGCAGACAGCUGCAGAGUCGGUACGAUCAGGAAGGAGAGUAAUCUAAAAAUAAAUAGCAACCUGUCACUCGCAUGAGAUCAUCCAGUCAAUUCCCAAUGGACAAAAUCGUUUUCAUUUUUUUUUUUCUUGUUCAAGAAGCCUUGAACUUUGUUCUAUAACAGAUUCCUCAAAUCACGUGUCUUUCUGAGUGGUGUGUAUUUUCUAAGCACAAGGUUUUUCCGCUGAGGUAAAUAAUUCCAUGCAUAAAGCUGAAAACAAAUAGCAUUUGUUGCCAAGGUUCUUUUGAGCAGCGGUCAUAUGAUAAAUGACAUCCCUGUCAUUGUGUGAUGUUCUGCAAGGACUCGUUUUCAUAGAAUUAAAUGGGGUUUGGAA